UAGGCAGACUUUGCCCAAGGGUGAAAGGAA
rnacentral:piRNA from 1 species